UACAGAGGAUGCAAGCGUUAUCCGGAAUGAUUGGGCGUAAAGCGUCUGUAGGUGGCUUUUAAGUCCGCCGUCAAAUCCCAGGGCUCAACUCUGGACAGGCGGUGGAAACUACCAAGCUGGAGUACGGUAGGGCAGAGGGAAUUUCCGGUGGAGCGGUGAAAUGCGUAGAGAUCGGAAAGAACACCAACGGCGAAAGCACUCUGCUGGCCGACACUGACACUGAGAGACGAAGCUAGGGAGCGAAUGG
rnacentral:rRNA from 1 species